rnacentral:rRNA from 1 species
UACGUAGGGAGCAAGCGUUGUCCGGAAUCAUUGGGCGUAAAGCGCGUGUAGGCGGCUUGAUGAGUCUGCUCUGAAAGCCCGGGGCUCAACCCUGGGAGGCGGGUGGAUACUGUCGAGCUCGAGUCCGGAAGAGGCGAGUGGAAUUCCUGGUGUAGCGGUGAAAUGCGCAGAUAUCAGGAGGAACACCAAUGGCGAAGGCAGCUCGCUGAGACGGUACUGACGCUGAGACGCGAAAGCGUGGGGAGCAAACAGG